rnacentral:lncRNA from 1 species
UACAUAUUAUUUACAAGAGACAAAAUGCUAUUUAUUGGAUGUGUUGAAAAAUGGUCGAUUUCUGUCUCUGAUUACCGGUGGGGUUAAAGUAGUGAGAUAAUUUUUACAUAUACAGUUAAAGUUUUCUUUGGUACCAUUUUGUUUGGAAUGCUGCCAAGCAUUUGGUAAAAGAUAUUUAGAUACAUUGCAUUUAAGACCAUGUGAUACAGAACUAUGUCAUAUAUCCCUUUAAAACAAUUGGGCGAUUUGUUCUAAGAACAAAAUGGACAUAGCCUUAAACGAAAGUCCCAUUUCUGAGUGUCCACACUAAUAUCAUAAUUGUCUACAGGUAAAAGCAGCCAAAUGUCUGCCCUUCAUAAGUAGCAAACAAAGAAGGAACAUUUACCUAUCUAGCAAUGGGACAAUACGUUUGAUUCAAUAACAUGUUAGAAUGGGUUCAGCAAAGGUAGGUCUGCUGGCUAAAGCCAUCCUGCUGCCUGAUUUUGUUAGCCUAUGAGCUAAGAAUGGUUUUUAUCUUUUUCAGCAGUUGGGGAAAAAAUAUUACAUAACACACAUAAAUUAUGUCACGAUAUGAAAUUCACAUUUCAGAGCCCAUUCCUUUAUAUAAUGUAACAUUCAGAGCUGCUUUCACACUACGAUGGCAGUGCUCAGUAAUUGUGACAGACCCUGUGGCUCACAAAGCUUAAAAUAUUUAGUAUUUGGCCCUUUCCAGAAAAGAGUUUGUUAACCCCUGUGUUAGGACCUUGUGUGGCCAUUAAAAGCCUUUAUGAAGAGUUUGUAACAGUAAGUUUAAGCCAUAUAUGUUAUCAUGGAUAAUUCUGUAAAAAAAUCAGGAUGUAAAGAUGAAAUACUUAAUAAAAUGACAUAAAAACAUGAAAAAAAUGUUGUUUUAGGUACUGGGACCUAUGGGUGAUGUUAUUCCUUUCUUAUUUUUCAUUCCAGGUAUUCUGUAUAACAAGAAUUACUUUACCAUGGUGAACAAAGGGUUCGAAUUAAAUGCAGUAUCCGGAUUGGAUGCAUUCAGUAUGUACAUAUCAUAAGUCCAGGGAAGGCUGCUCAACUACCAUUAUCCAGCAACGGAGAGAAUGAUGUGUGCACCUGAGGAAAGCAACUAAUGUAAAAUUCAUGGACUUUAUUAUGGGAAAAAAUCGAUUAGCUUGAUAAAUGCAUUACCACCUGCUUCACUCAAGUUACGGGCCUGGACUCCAGAUUUUGAGCACUGCUUGCAGGAGAAACUCAAAAAGAUCUUAUUUCUUUUCUGACCACUGAAGGGUCAGGAAUGCACCGUGUUGCAUCUUCUCAGUGACAAUGCUACCUCCGCUAAUGUACGUCUGACUGGAGCCUAUUGGAGUGUUCUGUUACUACAAGUCCAGCAGGUGGCAGGGGUGACUAAUUGUUUAAAGAAAGCACUUAGAAUUAAAAACAAAAUCAAGCUAUUCUCUUGAAAUAAGAUUUUUGACCUCUAUUUCAUUAUGAAUACAUGAUACGCUCCCAUCUUUCCCCACCCUCAACCCACAGAGUGGCCUAAGAAAAGUGAGAUGGGGACAAUGGGCCCCAAUUCCACUGCAGGGUUUCCUUGGUCUCACCUGUCCCAGAUGUAAAGGGUCUCCUCCCGCAAUUUACGCUAAAGCACCAAAGCUGCAACAGUCAGUGUCUCCCUUCCCCUUCCCCUUCCCCAUCAUGG